rnacentral:rRNA from 1 species
AAAAGGUACUAAGGGCACACGGUGGAUGCCUUGGCGCCAUCAGCCGAUGAAGGACGCAGCCAGCUGCGAAAAGCUCCGGGGAGAAGCAAGCAUUCCGUGAUCCGGAGAUAUCCGAAUGGGGCAACCCGGCUGGAGAAGUCCAGUCACCCGCAUAGUCGGGAGGAACCGGGUGAAGUGAAACAUCUCAGUAACCCGAGGAGAAGAAAUCGAAGAGAUACCCUGAGUAGUGGUGAGCGAAAGGGGAGAAGCCUAAACCGAAGGAGUGUCAAGGCUGCGGCCGUUGCUUUUUCGGGGUUGAGGGAAUUUCGAGGAUACGCCCGCAGGAGUAUCCGGGAGUGACAAACCGUCAAUGUAGUCGAAGUGUAUUGGGAAAGCAUGCCGCAGAGGGUGAAAGCCCCGUAGGCGAAACGUUGACGGCUCCCGCAGGAAUCUCCCGAGUAGGCCGGAGCACGUGGAAUUCCGGUUGAAUCCGGGCCGACCAUGGUCCAAGGCUAAAUACUGAUGGCGACCGAUAGCGAAACAGUACCGAGAGGGAAAGGUGAAAAGCACCCCUGGCGGGGAGUGAAAAAGACCUGAACCCGUGUGCCUACAAUCAAUCGGAGCCGGAAGCGUUCGCGAGAGCGUGGAAGGUGACGGUAUGCCUUUUGUAAAAUGAGCCGGCGAGUCAUUUUCAGUAGCGAGGUUAAGGUCCGUCUGGACUGUAGCCGCAGGGAAACCGAGUCUGAACAGGGCGAAGAGUUUCUGGAAAUGAACCCGAAGCCGCACGAUCUAUCCAUGAGCAGGUUGAAGCCCCGGUGAAACGGGGUGGAGGACCGAACCGGUGCCUGUUGAAAAAGUCUCGGAUGACUUGUGGAUAGGAGUGAAAAGCUAAUCGAGUGCGGUGAUAGCUGGUUCUCCCCGAUAUGCAUUUAGGUGCAGCCUUAUGGAUGACAGAUGGGGGUAGAGCACUGGAUGGACGCGGGGGACUGGGGUCCUGCCAAAUUCAACCAAACUCCGAAUACCACCAUGUUGGACCAUAGGAGUGAGACUGCGGGAGAGAAGUUUCGUAGUCGUGAGGGAAACAGCCCAGACCGUCAGCUAAGGCCCCAAAGGGUAUGCUAAGUGUGGCAAGGAUGUGGAAAUGCCCAAACAGCCAGGAGGUUGGCUUAGAAGCAGCCAUCCUUUAAAGAGUGCGUAACAGCUCACUGGUCGAGGAUUUCCGCGCCGAAAAUACAGGGGGCUAAGCAUACCGCCGAAGCUGCGGGAUUUGUACUUAUGGUAUGGAUCGGUAGGGGAGCGUUCCAUGGUGGGAGAAGUCGUACUGUGAGGUGCGGUGGACGCCAUGGAAGUGAGAAUGCCGGCAUGAGUAGCGCAAAGUAUGUGAGAAACAUACUCACCGGAAGCCCAAGGGUUCCUGGGGAAGGCUAAUCCACCCAGGGUAAGGCGGGACCUAAGGCGAGGCCGAAAGGCGUAGUCGAUGGACAGCAGGCUGAUAUUCCUGCCCCGCAGAGGAGCCGUUUGACUGAAGCAGUGACGCAGGAAGCUAGGUGGACCCGGGUGAUGGAAGUCCCGGGCCAAGGGAGUAGGCAUGCUUUACAGGGAAAUCCGUAGAGCUGAGCCGAGACCUGACGGGGAGUCUCCGUAAGGGAGACGAAGCCAUUGACGCUCAACUGUCAAGAAAAGCUGCUGGGGAGGCUUCUGAGCGCCCGUACCCGAGACCGACACAGGUGGGCUGGCUUAAGAGGCUAAGGUGAGCGGGAUAACUCUCGUUAAGGAACUCUGCAAGUUGACCCCGUAACUUCGGGAGAAGGGGUGCCGCUCUGGUGAAGACAAUGCUGUUGGAGCUGAGAGCGGUCGCAGAAACCAGGCUCAGGCGACUGUUUACUAAAAACACAGGUCUCUGCAUAAGGCGCAAGCCGAAGUAUAGGGACUGACACCUGCCCGGUGCUGGAAGGUUAAAUGGAGAGGUUAGUGCAGUGAUGUGCGAAGCUUUGAAAUGAAGCCCCAGUAAACGGCGGCCGUAACUAUAACGGUCCUAAGGUAGCGAAAUUCCUUGUCGGGUAAGUUCCGACCU